CUACGGGAGGCAGCAGUGAGGAAUAUUGGGCAAUGGGUGAGAGCCUGACCCAGCGACGCCGCGUGCAGGAAGAAGGCCUUCGGGUUGUAAACUGCUGUUGUACGGGAAGAAGGACGUGACGGUACCGUACGAGGAAGCUCCGGCUAACUACGUGCCAGCAGCCGCGGUAAUACGUAGGGAGCGAGCGUUGUCCGGAAUUACUGGGCGUAAAGGGCACGCAGGCGGUCAUGCAAGUCAGCUGUUAAAUGGAUGGGCUUAACCUAUUCAUGCGGUUGAAACUGCAUGGCUAGAGUACUGGAGAGGUAAGCGGAAUUCCCGGUGUAGCGGUGAAAUGCGUAGAUAUCGGGAAGAACACCAGUGGCGAAGGCGGCUUACUGGCCAGUAACUGACGCUGAGGUGCGAAAGCCAGGGGAGCGAACCGGAUUAGAAACCCCGGUAGUCC
rnacentral:rRNA from 1 species